UACGUUGGGUGCGAGCGUUGUCCGGAAUUAUUGGGCGUAAAGGGCUCGUAGGCGGUCUGUCACGUCGGGAGUGAAAACUCAGGGCUUAACCCUGAGCCUGCUUCCGAUACGGGCAGACUAGAGGUAUGCAGGGGAGAACGGAAUUCCUGGUGUAGCGGUGAAAUGCGCAGAUAUCAGGAGGAACACCAGCGGCGAAGGCGGCGCUCUGGGCCGGAACUGACGCUGAGGAGCGAAAGCGUGGGGAGCAAACAGG
rnacentral:rRNA from 1 species